AAAUCGUUCGUAUAGGAACCACGUAGUUAUAGUAAAACCAUGCAAAUUGGAGGAAGUAACCAACUAAUAGUAACGAAGAUGAAUACAUGGAAACGCUAUUGGUGGGCCGGAUCACAAUUCUGGCCCAAAUAUUGGUUAUAAGUUUGAGCCUGGUCUAUCUUAAUAUGGACUCGUUAAAAAUACUAUACAAGUACAAUUAUUA
rnacentral:lncRNA from 1 species